rnacentral:misc_RNA from 1 species
CUUUAAUUCAUCAACAUCCAUUACCACCAGGCAUUCCAAUUGUCGCACAGUGGACGCAAGAGUAGAUUGAAAGUCUUCCAAGCUGGAGUACACGAGAAAGAAACUCAUCAAUCUAACAAACAGAAGCCAUAUAUCAGCUUUUCCGGAGGUAACAGUUUCAGUGGUUUCUGGCAUAUUCUUGUUAAAGGAACCACUGGUUACGCGAUUUAUAGCAUCCAUGG